CUCUUCAGCAGGACACGGUUGGUGUAAACGUACUGAAAAUCAGGAUCUUGACUUGGUCAAAGUAGCCCCCAUGAGGACCCUGAGGCUGAAAUUGUGACCUGCAAUUCUACCUCUCAUGGUUCGGGCAUGCUCCUCGUGCAGCGUUGCCAUGGUGAUGUUAUGCAUGUCUCUGAGCUCCUGAAUGACUGCCUGGUGUAAGUAAACAAAUCUGAUGUGAUGCUGCCGUCUUGUCACCUGCUCCUGCUGCUGGGUCCGAAGCUCCUCCAUUUCCGACUGAUG